rnacentral:piRNA from 1 species
UCAUGCACGGCUAAAAAUUUC